rnacentral:rRNA from 1 species
GAUGAACGCUGGCGGCGUGCCUAAUACAUGCAAGUCGAGCGAACGGACGAGAAGCUUGCUUUUCUGAUGUUAGCGGCGGACGGGUGAGUAACACGUGGAUAACCUACCUAUAAGACUGGGAUAACUUCGGGAAACCGGAGCUAAUACCGGAUAAUAUUUUGAACCGCAUGGUUCAAAAGUGAAAGACGGUCUUGCUGUCACUUAUAGAUGGAUCCGCGCUGCAUUAGCUAGUUGGUAAGGUAACAGCUUACCAAGGCAACGAUGCAUAGCCGACCUGAGAGGGUGAUCGGCCACACUGGAACUGAGACACGGUCCAGACUCCUACGGGAGGCAGCAGUAGGGAAUCUUCCGCAAUGGGCGAAAGCCUGACGGAGCAACGCCGCGUGAGUGAUGAAGGUCUUCGGAUCGUAAAACUCUGUUAUUAGGGAAGAACAUAUGUGUAAGUAACUGUGCACAUCUUGACGGUACCUAAUCAGAAAGCCACGGCUAACUACGUGCCAGCAGCCGCGGUAAUACGUAGGUGGCAAGCGUUAUCCGGAAUUAUUGGGCGUAAAGCGCGCGUAGGCGGUUUUUUAAGUCUGAUGUGAAAGCCCACGGCUCAACCGUGGAGGGUCAUUGGAAACUGGAAAACUUGAGUGCAGAAGAGGAAAGUGGAAUUCCAUGUGUAGCGGUGAAAUGCGCAGAGAUGUGGAGGAACACCAGUGGCGAAGGCGACUUUCUGGUCUGUAACUGACGCUGAUGUGCGAAAGCGUGGGGAUCAAACAGGAUUAGAUACCCUGGUAGUCCACGCCGUAAACGAUGAGUGCUAAGUGUUAGGGGGUUUCCGCCCCUUAGUGCUGCAGCUAACGCAUUAAGCACUCCGCCUGGGGAGUACGACCGCAAGGUUGAAACUCAAAGGAAUUGACGGGGGCCCGCACAAGCGGUGGAGCAUGUGGUUUAAUUCGAAGCAACGCGAAGAACCUUACCAAAUCUUGACAUCCUUUGACAACUCUAGAGAUAGAGCCUUCCCCUUCGGGGGACAAAGUGACAGGUGGUGCAUGGUUGUCGUCAGCUCGUGUCGUGAGAUGUUGGGUUAAGUCCCGCAACGAGCGCAACCCUUAAGCUUAGUUGCCAUCAUUAAGUUGGGCACUCUAAGUUGACUGCCGGUGACAAACCGGAGGAAGGUGGGGAUGACGUCAAAUCAUCAUGCCCCUUAUGAUUUGGGCUACACACGUGCUACAAUGGACAAUACAAAGGGCAGCGAAACCGCGAGGUCAAGCAAAUCCCAUAAAGUUGUUCUCAGUUCGGAUUGUAGUCUGCAACUCGACUACAUGAAGCUGGAAUCGCUAGUAAUCGUAGAUCAGCAUGCUACGGUGAAUACGUUCCCGGGUCU